CGGUUCGGGUCAUAGGGCGUCACUCGUCCUGGGGGUAUCUGUCUGGUGCGGUGGGCUGCACUUCUCGCCUAGUAGGACGUCGCGACCCGUUGGGAUGUUCCGUUCACUGGCCCCUGGUGGAGCCCGCGCCGGAGCGUGGCCUUGUGCCGCGUUGCUGUUUGCACGGACCCGGGGUGACCUGAUCGGCGCCCGACGGUAUCAAAGCUUGGGAAGAGGCCGCACAGAGGAUGCGUUCGAUGGCCGUUUCGGCCUACACUCGGACAGGCCUGCACCCGGUCAGCGGCGCUUCUGCUUUCGAUACUCGUCCGACCCGUCUUGAAACACGGACCAAGGAGUCUAACAUGUGCGCGAGUCAUUGGGCUCUGCGAAACCUAAAGGCGAAAUGAAAGUGAAGGCCACGCACUUGUGCUGGUGCUUAGGGGUGAUGGUCGUUCCUACACGGGCGGCCCGCAACCCCGGGGCGUCUCGUUCUCUUUGAGAAGUGGCGCACCCAGAGCGUACACGUUGGGACCCGAAAGAUGGUGAACUAUGCCUGGCCAGGACGAAGUCAGGGGAAACCCUGAUGGAGGUCCGUAGCGAUUCUGACGUGCAAAUCGAUCGUCGGAGCUGGGUAUAGGGGCGAAAGACUAAUCGAACCAUCUAGUAGCUGGUUCCCUCCGAAGUUUCCCUCAGGAUAGCUGGCGCUCAUAUAGAGUUUCAUCCGGUAAAGCGAAUGAUUAGAGGCCUUGGGGCCGAAACGACCUCAACCUAUUCUCAAACUUUAAAUGGGUGAGAACUCCGGCUUGCUUAGGUGAAGCCGCGAGACUCACGAAUCAGAGUGCCAAGUGGGCCAAUUUUGGUAAGCAGAACGGCGCUGUGGGAUGAACCAAACGCCGAGUUAAAGCGCCUAAAUCGACGCUCAUUGGAAACCAUGAAAGGCGUUGGUUGCUAAGACAG
rnacentral:rRNA from 1 species